rnacentral:rRNA from 1 species
UACGGAGGGAGCUAGCGUUGUUCGGAAUUACUGGGCGUAAAGCGCGCGUAGGCGGCUUCGCAAGUCAGAGGUGAAAGCCCGGGGCUCAACCCCGGAACUGCCUUUGAGACUGCGUCGCUAGAAUCCAGGAGAGGUGAGUGGAAUUCCGAGUGUAGAGGUGAAAUUCGUAGAUAUUCGGAAGAACACCAGUGGCGAAGGCGGCUCACUGGACUGGUAUUAACGCUGAGGUGCGAAAGCGUGGGGAGCAAACAGG